CCGUACCUUUGAAAGAAUGACCAUCCUCUGGUGGUCACAUGUUUCCUUCAGGUUAGUCCACAAUACUAGUGGAUCUUUUAUAGUAAGAUAUUCAACCUUUAAACCUUCAUCAAUAUGAUGCUGAAGAAAAAUUAAAGAUUUUGCGCGAUCCUGCAGGAAUGCAAUAUUUCCUUCUUGAAUCAUGGUUCUAAAAUUCAUGGCAUUAAGAUGCAUUUU
rnacentral:lncRNA from 1 species